rnacentral:lncRNA from 1 species
GAUUUGUCCCCCCGAGAGCUUAAAAUGUCACUCUCUUGGCAAACACUGGGCAGAAGACCUCAGAAUGUCAGGUGAGUCACGCAGCGUGAGCAGUCAAAUGCCAGAGAGCAUGACGUCAGUGAAAAGCCCGGAACGGAAAGCGAGAUCACCAGUGACGCCAGAGAUGGAAGCGAUCAGAAACAGAGCAUUGAAAAAGAUGGAGUGCCCAGCCCAUCGUCGCGGAGGUCCGCACCAGUACAAAUCUUCUCUGUUCUAUGCCAGCGUGAACAUCUAGAAUGGGCCGAGAGUGUUUUUCUCAUCCUUAAUACAGCUUUCUUUCCCUUUUUGCUUCUGUUUCUUUAAGCAGGGACAAACCAACCAACAAAAAAGUGCCUGUCACUCUUAUCGUAUUGUUUUCCUACUAAUUACACUUUAUUUAAUUAAAAAUAAAAGCCAAUGUAUUCUAAGCA